rnacentral:lncRNA from 1 species
AGGGCUCUGGCUCAGGUCUCUCCUUUCUAGUUCUCUCUUCAGUGCCCAGUGAAUUUAAAGCUCUUGGAAUAAAAAAGGAGGGAAGGUCAGAAGAAUUUCACAGCCCCUUGGUGAAUAGUAGACGAGGUGCAGAGAAAUCUGGAUACAAAAAUCUAGUACAGUCUUAUCUUGGGGGUCUGGUGGAUAUGCAGAAGACAAUUUCACCUUGUCACCCAAAAAUUAACCAGUGAGCAAAGAGGGCUCCUGACCAAGCAUCUGAAAUAAUCGUGAUCAGCAGUGAAUCCAGUGAUGAAGAUGGGCCCCCCAAGCCUGGAGCUCAGCAUCAAGUUGUGGACCACAUGAGGUGGGUGAUGAUGGCCAGCUUUGGAGCUAUGGAAUCUCAGGCACCUGAAU